GCGUACGUGGCGGAAGCGGAGUAGAGCGGAGCGGAAGAAACUUGAAAAGUCAGCAUUAUCAACACGCUGCGUGGACAUUGCAACCACAUUGCAGUCAAUCGAGCAACCAUCCCUCUCUACUUUAUUCCUAUACUGCAAUUAGUGUCAAGGGAAUAAAUGCAUGCCCUACCUGCUCUAACCACAUGCUGUGUACACGUGUGUCGAUUAUUGCAGGGAAAUGCGACAUUACUUGGCAAAGCGAUAUGAGGGACAACUGAGUCAUAUGAAACGUUUGACAGUUGAUCGUACGGCACGGCACGGCAGUCUUACGUGGAAGCCAACGGAAGCGAGAAGCAAGUUUGUAAAGCGAGUUGAUUGACGACCGGCCAACGCGCGCGCAGAAUAUCUCUGAAAGUCAUGGAAGUUAUGGCUGUUUCCAGCCAUUAUUAUGAUAUCGUUUAUAAAAUAUCAUCUCUCACUGGCAUGUGGCCGUAUCUAGAGUCUAGGACAAGAGUAUUUCGUAUGGCCUUGUUAACUAUAGUCUUGUUAACUCUCCUGAUACCGCAGAUAGCGUAUCAAUUUAUGUGCAAGAAAAACUUGCAUUGCACCUUCCAGGCAAUGACAGCCUAUUUACUCUGUAUCGUGAUUUUAAUAAAGAUGUACACCUUUCAAUUCAACGUUGAUACAAUUAAAGACCUCACUCGACACUUGUUCUGCGAUUGGAAAGAAUUAAAUACUUACGAAGAAUAUGAAAUUAUGAAGUCGUACGCCGCAAACAGUAGACGAUUCUCCUUGAUAUAUUUCGUAUACUUCUCUGCAGCGAUGAUUACGUUUACGUCCAUGUCUCUUAUACCGCAUAUCCUCGAUAUUGUAUCACCUCUCAACGAGUCCCGGCCUAUAUUACCGCCAUAUCGAGGAUACUAUUUUGUCGAUAUGCGAGAAUAUUUCUUUGAAAUAUUCUGGCAUUCCGUCGUGGCCUGGCAAAUUGUUAUAGUUGGUAUAAUUUCCCACGACUGCUUGUUUGUAACGUAUGUCGAACAUGUUUGCAGCAAGUUUGCUAUAACUGGAUUUCACUACAAACAUUUAUUUCAAGAUUGUAGAAAUAAAAUGAAAAGUACACCAUCGAUAAACCCUGACGCGACAGAUUUCAAGAGAGUAGCGUUCCUCGUACGUAAACAUCGAGAAGCAUUAGAACUCGCGCAAUUGCUCGAAGAUACGUUUACCAUACCUUUAGCUAUGCAGAUAUUUAUAGCAACGAUAGGGAUGAGCAUUACUUUGCUACAAAUUACGGAGAAAACUAGCGAUAACUUGGAAGCAACAAGGUACGUGUUUUAUGUCGGUGGUCAAUUGAUUCAUUUGUUCUUUCUUAGCUUCGAAGGACAAAGGUUGAUAGAUCACAGCCUUCAGAUACGCGAUAAGAUGUACAGCAGCUGCUGGUACAAAGCAUCCACGAGAUUACAAAAGAUGAUCAUGCUGGUGAUGAUGAAAAGUCUUCACCCGAGUUUUUUAAGCGCUGGCAAAAUUUACAUUUUCUCCUUACAAAGUUUCACAUCGGUCACGCAGCAGCAGGCCGACAUUUUACAACUCAUAAGGUAUGUGAUGUAUGUCGUUGGCCAAUUGGUCCAUCUAUUUUGCCUCAGUUUUGAAGGACAAAAAUUAAUAGAUCACAGUCUUCAAACCCGUGAUAAAAUCUAUAAUAGUCUUUGGUACGAAACACCGCCCAAGUCACAAAAAAUGCUUCUGUUUGUGAUGCAAAAGAGUCUUCAACCUAUUUUCUUAAGCGCUAGCAAGAUUUACAUUUUCUCAAUGGAAAACUUUACGAUGAUCAUGCAAACUUCAAUGUCAUACUUCACCGUCCUCUCGUCUUUGGAAUAAUUAAGCAACGAUCAGUGUCCAAAUAUCAGACUUCUGGCAUCCAGACUCUAUAUCGGCAAGGAUCAUAAUUUUUAAGUAACAUCAAGCAAGUUUAUUACCUAUUUGCAUGUAAGUAACAUAUUGAAACAAUUGUAGCAAAUUUUUUGCUUGCCUCCUCUGUGUAUUUGUAUUUGUAGUAUUUGAAAUCGAAGCAAAAGUUGCAACGUAAAAAAAUAUUCGUAACUCCAAAAUGUUUUGUGUUAUGUAAAAAUAAGAAUAUAUAUAAUAAUCGUUUUAGUUAGAAAUAGGUUUAAUAAUUUAGAAAAACUGUAACAUAGUUACACGGAUAUAUUUAUAAUUAACAAGGCACACUCAAGUUACAUUCAUUAGUUGUUACGUCACAAAAACAGAUGUGAGAUAAAAUUGUUUUUCUCUUACGAUUAUCUGCUAGCUCUGUCUAAAGUAGUUUGUGUAGUAAGUGAUAUUUAAUUCGUCAAAGAUGAUUAACUUAAAUAUGUAAACGAAUUCUUUGUUGUCACUUGCUUAGAAUAAAAUUAUAUACAAUAAAGUCUACGUUAAACGUU